CCGUUGGAACCGGAAAUUACGCUUCUUCGUCUUCUUCAUCUUGUUUGAGGUUUAUGGCGGCUGAUUCAUCUAUGGUUGGCAAGCUGCAAACAAAUAAAACACAAGCCCAGUUUCAGGUGGACUGACCGUCUAUACCAGAUGACAGGACAGCAAAGAGGACAGAUGAAUGAAGCAUGCAUCAUGAACGUACUUGAUCCGUCCUGGGAUCGUCCCAACCACUUCCCCUCUGGGUUUCCCUGCACACGGAUGAUG